GCAGUAACUGGGAUGGAGGAAUUCCAUGAUUAAGAAGGCGAUUUCUGCAGAGUGAGGCCCUUCCAUUGCACACUUUGUUUGGGUUGACCCCUCUGAUUUCCGCAAACGUGGGAAACUCAACUGCAUAAUUUUUGGUAUUGGGGGACUGUGUUCGUGCAAUUCCUUG